UACGUAGGGUGCAAGCGUUGUCCGGAAUUACUGGGCGUAAAGGGCUCGUAGGCGGCCAACUAAGUCAGACGUGAAAUCCCUCGGCUUAACCGGGGAACUGCGUCUGAUACUGGAUGGCUUGAAUCCGGGAGAGGGAUGCGGAAUUCCAGGUGUAGCGGUGAAAUGCGUAGAUAUCUGGAGGAACACCGGUGGCGAAGGCGGCAUCCUGGACCGGCAUUGACGCUGAGGAGCGAAAGCCAGGGGAGCAAACGGG
rnacentral:rRNA from 1 species